UACGGAGGGAGCUAGCGUUGUUCGGAAUUACUGGGCGUAAAGCGCACGUAGGCGGCUUUGCAAGUUAGAGGUGAAAGCCCGGGGCUCAACUCCGGAAUUGCCUUUAAGACUGCAUCGCUUGAAUCCGGGAGAGGUGAGUGGAAUUCCGAGUGUAGAGGUGAAAUUCGUAGAUAUUCGGAAGAACGCCAGUGGCGAAGGCGGCUCACUGGACCGGUAUUGACGCUGAGGUGCGAAAGCGUGGGGAGCAAACAGG
rnacentral:rRNA from 1 species